CAGGCAUCAAGAAAAUGCUGAAGCAUGCCAGAAGAAUCAGGAGGACAGAAUAUAAAGGAAAGCCUCUGGAAUUAAACCACAGCCUCACUUGACAAAAACAACAUUUUCCAAAAAGCAACUGAUGAUGUGAGGGAAAUAGAGAGAUUUGGGCAGUACAGAUUUAUUGCAGCUUCACUAAGAAGCCUGAGUAUUCACUAUCCAGUCUUGACACCUGAGAUUAUUCUGAGGGAAAGCUACAUGCCUGACAACAGUCAUUUCGCACUCGUUCUUCAUUCAAUAGCUCUUCAGAUUCCUGACUACAGCCUGGUAGACAGCUAUCCCAGGAUUUAACUUCAGACUGAACAGUGCCACUGAGGCUGAAUAUAACUUACAGACAUUGUCAGUAUGAUGUCAGAGCUUUGGUAAAUCAUCAUAACUCCCUUGCAUGAGUUUAGUUGAAUAGUAGUGCUACUGUCCUAUUUGUUUGCUGAGCUGGAAGAUUUCUGUCAAGGAUGUCAAUAGAAAACUGCUCUUUAUUUUACUGGAAUGGAUUAUGUUUUGAACAUAG
rnacentral:lncRNA from 1 species